CGGGCGCUCCGCGCUCUUACCUUGGGUAGCAACCCCGCGCGCCGCCAGCAGCAGCGCGGCCAGCAGCGCCAGGAGCGGCGGGCGCGUCCCGCGGCGGCGCGGCCGGUGCAUUCCUUCCCUCGCGGCGGCGGCGGCGGCGGCGGCGGCUCCCCGGCCGCGGGCUGAACAUCCACGGGCUCCCUCCGGGCGCCCGGCCACCUCGUCCGCGGCCGCGGGCGUUCGCUGGAGGCCGGGGGCGUUUGCACAGCUCUUUGUCCCUCGAACCUGCUCCCUCGCCUCCGCCUGGCCGCCUCUGGAGUGACCCUUGGCCACGAGACUUCUACGGAUACCAGUUUCCCUUUUGAGUUCUUGCUGAAGAGCCGGUUCUUAAAACAGGUGCUCUGCUCAGCGAAUCCUCCCUGCUCUCAGGAAGCCAGCAGAGGUGCACGGAGGGAUUCCUUCUGGCUCUCUGACCACUCCCUGUUCCAUCAGCCGCCAUCUGAAAUGACAAGAUGCCCAACCUAACUGACUGAAUGUGCAAGAAGAAGUCAACGUGGGUAUGGCUCCCCUGUCCUUGAUGCCACUCCCUCCUAAUGCUCCCCCUUUCUCUGACCCCUGGCUUGGGGAGACUAAACACCUUCCCCCGAGGCUGAGAAACAAUCUUUCUGACCCCCAAAAGGAGAGGCAUGGGGGACAUGGGGGCCAUCAAACACAGUAGUGUGCACUUGGAUGGGACUUAAAACCAAUACAGUGCUUCAUAGGUACCAUUGCCAAAUCCCAGCAGUCCAAAUUAAACUGGUAUUUGUUCAAAGCAGCGUGUUCCUCUCCAUCCCUAUGACAAUUUCUUUAGUUCUGAUCUCAUCCUGAUUUGCCUGGAACACACAAGCAUUUCCUCCCUGCUCUGUUCUCUCUCUUGAUGCCAGAGAAAUUUUGUUAAUUACUUUUCCAUUUUUCAGUGGUUCUGCAGCCCCUACAGGAUAGUCAAAACCUUGAAUUUUGAUCAUUUAAGGCCCAGCUGCAGCAUUCUUCUAUGUCCUGACACAACCCCAUACACAAGUCUUGCCACAAUCAAUGAAACCUCUCUUCAUUCCUCCCUCGCACCAUGUCUUUUCCUUGCUUUUAUUCUCUGCAAACUCAGCCAUUGAAUAGAACUUAAAUGUCACCUCCUCCAGGAAAUCUUCCAAGCUCUCUCAAGGAAAGAUUAGUUGCCAGACUCCACGAGACUUUGUACUUG
rnacentral:lncRNA from 1 species